GAUGAACGCUGACAGAAGGCUUAACACAUGCAAGUCAACUGUGGCGGACGGGAGAGUAAGGCGGAAAGAACUUGCCUCACGGUUAGGGACAACAUUUGGAAACGAAUGCUAAUACCGGAGACUGUGAGAGAGCUUUGCGUCACAUUAGCUAGUUGGAGAGGUAACGGCUCACAAAGGCGAUGAUGGGUAGCCGGCCUGAGAGGGUGAUCGGGCACAUGGGGACUGAGAAACGGCCCUUAGGCCUACGGGAGGCAGGGGUGGGGAAUAUUGGACAAUGGACCAAAGUCUGAUCCAGCACUUCUGUGUGCACGAUGAAUUUUUCGGAAGGUAAAGUGCUUUCUGUUGGGCAGCGGUACCAACAGAAGAAGCGACGGCUAACUACGUGCCAGCAGCCGCGGUAAUAC
rnacentral:rRNA from 1 species